AUAGAAAUAGAAUCGAACGGAGAUGAUGUCAGCCGACGCAACAAGCAGCCAGUCGAUUCGGUUCACUGAAAGCGUCUCGACGCGACGCGUCGUCGGUGAACGUUCAUUCGAGAUCGCAUCUGCAAUUGUCAUCGGAGAACCUUUCGAACAGAAUGCGAUUCGCGUAAGCCCGGCAAAGUGUGUCACCUACCGGUACACGAUGUUCGAGCAUUACCGAGGCUGACGUUACGCUCGCUUACUGCCACGUGACAAGUUCAUUGAUUUUUCUUUUUAUCAUUAACCCUUUCGUUAUUAAAAGCGACCGUUAGAAUAGCCUCCAAAGACGAUAAUAGAAUUUACCGUAAUAUCUGACGCGAAAUAUCGAUGAUAAUCUUAAAGCCGGUACGUCGACUUCGUUUCCAUCAGCCUAGCUGUCUCGCUACGAUCGCUUUCACCGCGUCGAUGACGUAACGCGAGCGAUGAACAGGAAAAGCGACGUUUACCUAGCGAAAAUGAACAGUCCCGGUGGAAGAAGAAAGAAGGCAUCGGCGAGUGUCUGGAAGCCGGCCAACUAGAGCGGAAACGGUGAACGCGGCGCAAGGCUGACGGGGACGAUCGUGUGCCACCGUGUGCCACCAUAGCCAUUUCGAUUCUACUGUAUAGGGGAAAAACACGAGGAAAAAUCCUGCACCGGAUGCAUCCAACCGACAAAGAAGCGCCGCGUCGGAUUCUACUACCCUCUCGGUGUUGUUCGCUAAGACUUUCGCGUCUCAUGGAAACCAGCUGAAGGCCGAACCGGUUCCCCGUUUCACGAAACUAACACCCGACAGAUGUUCGGGAAAGAAGAACCCGGCUUCUUUCUACCUGCUCGCCGGCUCCCAAUUUUAAAUCGCGAGACCAGCUCCAGCUUCUUUCGAGCUUGGAGGCCGGUGCAUCCUCUUCUCUACAAGAUUGACCGGUACUUCCUUUCGUGGUACGUUGCGUGUAUAAUUAUGCCCGGUUCGCAAGCGGAGGGGAAAUAUAAUGACAGCCAAAAUGAAUUCCAGACUGAUGACAAUAUCGACCCAGUGUGGCGCCAGUCUGUCUAACCAGGAAGCAACGAACCACGUUCUUAUAAUCUAUGUAUUAUUUCCAUUUCUUUUCAACCAUUCUAGAUUAUGUUUAUCAAUUUGGUUGGUAUCGUUACUAACGGGAAAUUCCUUGUUACACAAUCUAUUACGCGAAAAAUCGCAAUCGCACCGUAACGAAACGUAAUUGUACAUUUUUUUUUUUUUUUUUAAUUUAUGAUUUAAAAUGAGAACGUCUGAUCAUUUAUUAACAUCCUCUCUAAUGAAAUUCUUUUCGUGUCUGCUAAUAAACGAACAACCGUUUUCAAAAUGACUAAUGGUUAUUAUGGAAUUAUCAUUUAUUCCUUCCGCGUUUCAACUUUCGAUAAAAUUCAAGUUGAACGAUAUCAUUUUCAGAUUCUUUUCUAUAAAUGAUCGAGAAAUACGGGUAACUCGAUGUUUGGAGCAAUUGAUUAGCCAAUCGUCCGGAGUAUUUCGUGUUGUGAUUUCAGUAUCCAGGCAACAGGUAACCGCAUUGCUGUACAAUCGGCCAGUAACGAUGAUCGACUUUGCGUUGGGACGAUGUUGAAACCAGUGAAACUUGUAAGUGAAUACAGCCCCGCUCGAGAGUUUAACAAGGCAUUAACUUUCGAAGUCAGCGAAGCUACAAAGGCGUGCAGCUGCUGCUUCAAGUCAGCUGACGAGAAAAGUAACCACCUUGCUGGUAAACACCACCAUUAAAACACGACACACCGUGUAUAUUAAACUAUUCCACGUCUGUUUCUUCGCUGGCUGUACGAGAAUCACACCGAUAACUUUGUAUAAGCCAAUCAAUCUAUUAAUUAACAUCGUACAGAUUAAUAAUAAUUUUUAAAAAAUGGAAAAUUUGUUAUAAUGAUUCAUCUUGUUAUGAUAAAACUGCUUAUUAUCAUUCUGUAUUUCUGAUUUCC